UCUGUUUAUGUCGCUGCCUUUCGCACAUGGGAUAUACCGUGCCCUGGGGAUAGCAGAUGACAAUCUCACGUCUCAGUUUGCAUAGAGAUGGGCUGAUCGUUAGCACGGCAUGAUUCCCGAUAAAACAAAACAUCCAGCCUGUCAGGGCUGAGGGGUCUGACGCAGGCCAGGGAGCUUGAUGAUAAAGUGGCGCCAUAUGGCAGGUGGACACCAUCAGAGGACGAGACUUUGUGAGAUUCAGCAUCUUCUAGAUAACGACGAAGGAAGCAAGAAGUAAUGCGGUGACGCCCCUCCCCUACAUGUUGCUGAGCACUGCUUUGAUCUGCUGGUUGGAUCAAAGAAGGCGUCUGUGCUUCCCCCUUGCUGGCAAGAAAGAAAGUUCAAGUGUUUGGAAAUAUUUCCUGCGCGCCAUGAUUAUUAGGAUAAUGUUGAUUUAAAGCAGCAGCGUGUGAGAUGUGGAUGGAAAUUCUGUUAUCGGAGUAGAUAUGGCCCAAAGCCAGUCCCUGGUCUUUAUCUUAUUUUUAUCUAACUCAAAAUAAAGUGUGUCAAAGUAGAUUC